AUUGAUAGAGGCGCGGCAACCAUCAGUAGCGUUACAGCACAGUUCGGAUAAACUUGUGCGUGAAAGGGGAAGCCGCCGAAACGGUUUUACGGUAUCCGCCGUAAUUCGGUUGGUGUAUUGCAAAAUAUGUAAUAUACUGUCACAUUUUAUGUGGAGAGCUAUCCUG
rnacentral:ncRNA from 1 species